rnacentral:rRNA from 1 species
AACGUAGGGGGCCAGCGUUGCUCGGAAUUACUGGGCGUAAAGGGUCCGUAGGCGGUGUGGCAAGUCGGAAGUGAAAUCUCUGGGCUUAACCCAGAGGCUGCUUCCGAAACUGCCGUGCUAGAGUGCGGGAGAGGCGAGUGGAAUUGCAGGUGUAGCGGUGAAAUGCGUAGAUAUCGGGAGGAACACCUGCGGCGAAGGCGGCUUCCUGGACCAUUACUGACGCUGAGACGCGAAAGCGUGGGGAGCGAACAGG